CACAGCUGAAUUGGUUUUGUUGUCCUCUGGUCACUUCGUGACAAAAAGAAAGCAAAAACAAAAUAACGCAAUCUUAUGAGCAUACGUACAGUCACGUUUACUUUUAGUUAUGUUCGAAAAGUCAUCAUUGGAGCCUCGGGAUAAAUUUGAUUUGUGUACUUCCUCGUCGGGACAUCGAUGACGAUACAUAUAACGCUGACGUCGUUUUCGUUAUCGAUAUACUGUCGAGGCCUGUGUCAUAUCGCCGUGUUGUUUUCUUUUAUUUUGGUUUAUUUUUGUUCAAUAAUCGUGGAAUUAUCGUGCUACAGCGCAGUUACAAGCUUUAACUUUAGCCCGUUUUAACGAAAUACAUGACACUAAUUCUUAUAUACAUUAUACAUUCGUAUAUAUAAAACAAUAACAUCAAGUUUUCACGAAGAUGAUCAUCUGGCAAAUUGAUCGUAUGAACAUCGAAAUUCAUUAAAUGAAAAAAUAACAGACGAAUAUCCGGGACAUAGAAAAAAUUAUAGUGAUUUCAAAAAUGGACAACCUGACCGGAAUCCUCGGUGCUAUUUGCCGAGGUUUCGUGGACAGUCUCAAAGGCGGCGUUGUGCUUUUUUAUAUGGAUAAAGAAAUUAAUGAUAAAUUGAUGAGAAACUCACCAGCUAAAAGUGAACAUCGAAGACGAGAAACUAGUAGCAAUCAAAGUCCAAAUAAAGCAUCUAAGGGGCAUCGGGAAUCAAAAAUAUUAAAACGCACAAUACAGUGCUGUGCGCUCAAUGGUGGAGUCUUUUGGGCCAGUAUAUUGAUAUUCGAAUGUGGGCUUUUGCCUUUUCUGAAAUAUCUGCUGAGUAUAUUGUUUGGUGAUUCACCUGGAAUGGGACUUACACUAUGGUCUUGGAUCAAACCAUGUCUUUCCCUUACUUUUGGAACUGUUUGGGUAUUACCACUGUUCGUACUCAGUAGGAUAGUCAAUAGCUUGUGGUUUCAGGAUAUAGCAGACAGCGCAUAUAGAUACAGACAGGGACGGCCUUUGUCGCUGUCCAGCGUGAGCAAACUUGUAGCAGACACUUUGUGCGGUGUCCUCGUCCAGGCUCUUUUCCUUGGUCAGGGAAUGCUGGUAUCAAGAAUACCACUACCGCCCAUUGGAGAAGCAUUGGCUCUCAUUCAUAUGUGUUUUCUCUAUGCUCUUUAUUCUUUCGAGUACAAAUGGUUCAAUAUGGGAUGGGAAUUGCACAGGAGGCUCACAUUCAUCGAAGGCAAUUGGCCAUAUUUUGUUGGUUUUGGUUUGCCACUCGCCAUUCUCACACAGUUACCAAGCUCCUACGUUGUCAGUGGUUGUGUUUAUUCGAUCCUGUUUCCGCUUUUUAUCGUCAGCGGAAACGAGGCCGAACCCGUCACUGGUGUUUGCGACUGUCCAUUGAAACUUUUCUCACCAGUCAUCGCGAUAGCUAAUACUCUUUUCAACAAGACCAUUGGUCCGUCAACGCGACGGUGACAUCCGGAGCUGCGCGUCUACAAGGCCAACGAUAGAGGAACUUGAAAAGAUGUGAAAAACUUGGACGAGAGCUUCGUACCGACUGAACGUUUUUCACAUCGCUUCAGGAGAAAAAUAAGAGAUUACAUGCGAAGAAAAUCUCUCAAAAGUUGGCGCAAUAUUAAAAAUAGUAAACGGGCGAGAUUAAGAGAAACAGAACCUCGCAAUAUGUGAUAUACGCUCUUUUAAGCAAAAAGCCUUCGGAUCACACUUGCAUCGACAUUGUAUAUUACGCUACGUUAUGCCUAAUGCUUAAAUAGGAUGUAAGUUUGGAAAUCAAAUGGACCGAUUAAAGACAGUGCACCUUCAUAAACCGUAUAUACACAAACAAGCGAUAUAUAGAGGCACUGAAAUAUUGUAAAUACGUAAUUCUAGUAUGAAAAUGAAUGUUCUUUUUUAUGCGACAGCUUUUUACACGAUAUAUAUGGGUUCAGAAAACGUGUCAAAAACAAAUUCAACGGUGUUUGUACAAACGAGCUCGUUUUAACGAUUUAUCUGCGGUGGCGAAUUUCAUGUUGAUAGAGCGAUUUUCAAGGAUUGUUUACAUUUUUACAAUAAAUGAUUUUUUUUUUCGUUCAGAUAUAA
rnacentral:misc_RNA from 1 species